GAAGGGCUGUAGCUCAGUGGUAGAGCAUCUACUUUGCAUGCAGAAGGUCCUACGUAGGUUCAAUCCCCAACAUCUUCA